GUAGUCCACGCUCUAAACGAUGUCAACUAGUUGUUGGGGAUUCAUUUCCUUAGUAACGUAGCUAACGCGUGAAGUUGACCGCCUGGGGAGUACGGUCGCAAGAUUAAAACUCAAAGGAAUUGACGGGGACCCGCACAAGCGGUGGAUGAUGUGGAUUAAUUCGAUGCAACGCGAAAAACCUUACCUACCCUUGACAUGGUCGGAACCCUGCUGAAAGGUGGGGGUGCUCGAAAGAGAACCGGCGCACAGGUGCUGCAUGGCUGUCGUCAGCUCGUGUCGUAGAGAUUGUUGGGUUUAAAGCCCGCAACGAGCGCAACCCUUGUCCUUAGUUG
rnacentral:rRNA from 1 species